GACGGGUGAGUAAUGCUUAGGAAUCUGCCUAUUAGUGGGGGACAACAUCUCGAAAGGGAUGCUAAUACCGCAUACGUCCUACGGGAGAAAGCAGGGGAUCUUCGGACCUUGCGCUAAUAGAUGAGCCUAAGUCGGAUUAGCUAGUUGGUGGGGUAAAGGCCUACCAAGGCGACGAUCUGUAGCGGGUCUGAGAGGAUGAUCCGCCACACUGGGACUGAGACACGGCCCAGACUCCUACGGGAGGCAGCAGUGGGGAAUAUUGGACAAUGGGGGGAACCCUGAUCCAGCCAUGCCGCGUGUGUGAAGAAGGCCUUAUGGUUGUAAAGCACUUUAAGCGAGGAGGAGGCUACUUUAGUUAAUACCUAGGGAUAGUGGACGUACUCGCAGAAUAAGCACCGGC
rnacentral:rRNA from 1 species